AUACACAUCAGAUGAUCAGAUCCUGGAUUAAGAUCAAACCUGUAGCGAAGCUAGCUCCUCAGAAAAGGAUCGCCGAUUUGCCUGAUCGCCUCCUCUCCCCUCCCCUCGGCACGGAUGUGUGAAAACAAGAAGGCGAAUCAACCACCAUCCACAGGUAGUUAUGCCAUUACGCAAAAAUGUGGAGAAGGGGUGUAUAACCAACCUGCGACCCCUCGAUCUUUGCAGGUCCUUUGCCCUCUUCUUGUAGCGGUUGAUAUCAGGCGAUGCGGCGGAUGGGAGAACGCGUCCGCGCAAGCGCACGGGCGAACGCGUCUCCGGGAAUUCGUCGUUGGCUGGCCAUCUCGAUGUUUUCGAUUGACGAAUUUUUUGACCAACAACAAACGUGGGCGUACAGGGAAGGAGAAGGAAUGCACCAGGGGACAGGCGCUGAUGUGAUGGAAGACGGGCGAAAUUUGGGUGGCGCCGGCGGGCGGCAGUUGGAACUUGACCGAUACAGACGUUCCUUGGCGGAGGACUCAGUCCGGCGUCCGUUUAGAGAUCCGCAUCCUACUCCCUCCAGAAG
rnacentral:lncRNA from 1 species